rnacentral:rRNA from 1 species
GUGCCAGCAGCCGCGGUAAUACGAAGGGUGCAAGCGUUACUCGGAAUUACUGGGCGUAAAGCGUGCGUAGGUGGUUUGUUAAGUCUGAUGUGAAAGCCCUGGGCUCAACCUGGGAAUUGCAUUGGAUACUGGCAGGCUAGAGUGCGGUAGAGGGUAGUGGAAUUCCCGGUGUAGCAGUGAAAUGCGUAGAGAUCGGGAGGAACAUCCGUGGCGAAGGCGACUACCUGGACCAGCACUGACACUGAGGCACGAAAGUGUGGGGAGCAAACAGGAUUAGAUACCCUGGUAGUCCACGCCCUAAACGAUGCGAACUGGAUGUUGGGUUCAACUAGGAACUCAGUAUCGAAGCUAACGCGUUAAGUUCGCCGCCUGGGGAGUACGGUCGCAAGACUGAAACUCAAAGGAAUUGACGGGGGCCCGCACAAGCGGUGGAGUAUGUGGUUUAAUUCGAUGCAACGCGAAGAACCUUACCUGGCCUUGACAUGCACGGAACUUUCCAGAGAUGGAUUGGUGCCUUCGGGAACCGUGACACAGGUGCUGCAUGGCUGUCGUCAGCUCGUGUCGUGAGAUGUUGGGUUAAGUCCCGCAACGAGCGCAACCCUU